AUGGUGGUGUCUGCCAGCCCUUCAUCCAGUGUGAGAAGACAGAGAUGAACACUGGAGAAAUCAACAAGAAAUUGCGCCCCCAGCCGGCAGAGAACAAACAGCAGUUCAGAAACAUAAAGAGAAAUUUCUUGUAACUCAAGUGGCCUAAUUCCUGGCCAACCAGCAGAAGAAAUACCGUAGUAUGAAGAAUUCAAAGACCUCAUAAAAUCUAUGCUGAGGGAUGAGCUGCAAUUCAAGGACGAGAAGCUUGCAGAGCAGCUUGGGCAAGCUGAGGAGCUCCUUAGGCAAUAUAAAGUCCUAGUUCACUCUCAGGCACGAGAGCUGGCCUGGUUAAGGAAGAGAUUACAGGAAGGGAGAGAUGCCUCCCGCUCAUUGAAUCAGCAUCUCCAGGCCCUCCUCACUCCGGAUGAGCCUGACAACUCCCAGGGGCAGGAUAUCUGAGAGCAGCUGGCUGAGGGCUGCAGGCUGACAGAGAACCUCAUCCACAAACUCAGCGAAAAUGAUGAAGAUGUGGAUGACGAUGUUUACGUUGAGGAGGCUGAGAAAGUGCGGGAAUCACGUGCCCCCA
rnacentral:lncRNA from 1 species